rnacentral:rRNA from 1 species
UACGUAGGGUGCGAGCGUUAAUCGGAAUUACUGGGCGUAAAGGGUGCGCAGGCGGUUUUGUAAGCCAGAUGUGAAAGCCCCGGGCUUAACCUGGGAAUGGCAUUUGGGACUGCAAGGCUAGAGUGUGGCAGAGGAGACUGGAAUUCCUGGUGUAGCAGUGAAAUGCGUAGAGAUGCGGAGGAACACCGAUGGCGAAGGCAGCCCCCUGGGCCAACACUGACGCUCAGGCACGAAAGCGUGGGGAGCAAACAGG